UGUCCGCGAAACACGCGAAAAACGCGAAAGGCCCUCGAGAGCCAGUGUUUGGUUUGCCCGUUCUGGGCUGCUGUACAAACAUGGCGGUGCAUCAUGGUGACCUCCCUAUGUAGAUAUAAACGGCUUAUUCUAAGAUGAUGAAAACACAACAAUUUUCAGUAGCAUGCUGGACCUGACUCUCUCUCUGACACACACACACACACGGACACACGGACGGACGGACGGACGGACGGAGCGUUGGCACGGAGCAGAGACGGGAGACUGAUCACCUCGAGCAACGCCGGCAAGUAAAACGGCAUGCUGGAGCGCCCGGAUGAACCUUGUAAUUAUUGUGUGUGUGAGCGAUCGUGACAAUAAAAAGUCGAUACCUGGGGACUGUGUGUUGGCGUCUGCAUUGUGCCAAGCAACUCACGGUAGCCGAAUCGGCUACAUAGGUGUAUGUGUGUGUGUGUGUGUGUGUGUGUGUGUGUGUGUGUGUGUGUGUGUAAACAACAAAAAUUAUAAUGAUAAUAAGAAAUAACCACAAUGGUCUGGGUUCAAAUCCAGCUGGCGGCCCUUCGCUGCAUGUCAUCCUCUCCCCCUCCCUUUACCAUGUCUCUCCAGUACAAAUAAAGGCGAAAAAGCCCAAGAAAAUAGUUCUGUGAAA